ACACAAAUGGUGACGGUGCAAAUCACUGCUGCCUUUAUUGGCCCCAGUCAUAACCUGGUACAGCUGGUGUCUGCUGGCCUGGGAUUUUCCGAGGGCUCCUGCAGCAGAGCAGGUUGCAGGCUGAUUGAGACAUGUUUGGUGGUUCAGCCAGGUUUGCCACAAGGGGGGGUGAAGAACAGAAACCAUCUGUGGAAAUUUACUGACUCUCUGACGAUCUCAUGACUUCUUGCUAAAUCUGAAAAUUCCCAGUACAACAGGAAUAAUUGUUUCUAAACCGCCUGUGCGGCCUUUCAUCAUUUACCUGAAUAUUGCAUGGUCGUUAGCACUUUUUUUGUCAGUGAUAGACAGCAGUCCAUCAUUUGCCAAAAGGGUGGAAGAUAAGGAAUUCAUUAGUCAAGACACUAGUUUCUAGUACAAAGAACUUCCAUACAGAUGGUGAAUUUUAAAUAUAUAUAUAUAUUUUCAACAAAUUAGCACAUAGCGUGCCAACUCUUGUGAAAUAUGUGCACAUUAGGAUUAUGAGUGGGAGCAAAUAAGGUUGUGAGGAAUCUUUCUGCGGCUUCUGUUUUCAAACAGUGAUUUGCAAAGUCUUUUUCUUGUCUCUUUUUUUUGUUUGUUUUAAAGGUUAAUAUGUACGAAGCUCUUUAAAUCAUCUGAAGUGGAUCAUGCUUAUGUCUAAGAGAUAAGGAGGGAUUUGUCUGUCUGACAAACUUCCCCUCUGUUUUUAGAGAAGGUUGGUAUUUUCAGAAGUGGUAAAAUACCACCGAGUGCAAAAUGCAGGGCGUAGUGAAAAUCAGAGUUCUGCCAGUUUAUGGGCUGAGCAAAAACUGUUGAAAUGCAAGAUGUUUCAAGGCCCAGCUCUGUGUCCUGCACAAGAAAAGCCUCCAGUGAUGUCUCUAAGUAAAGAUUUCAGUCUCCAGCCCAUGAAAGAUCAAUGUAAUACCUACUGCAAAGCCAAUAGGAAUUUUGCCUUCAGGACAAUUUAUGUUCUUAGUCACCUCUAUACUGGACCAUAUCAUCUAUCCAUCAGAAUUAAUGGUGUUUAUUUAAAAACUUGAGGGAAGGAAAGAGGAAAAAGCCAGGAGAAACCAGAGAAAAUUGCCCUGACUCUAUGUUGUGCCUCUGGGCAGGGCACAAAGUGAAUCUGAAAUAAUGUAAUUUCUAAGUAAGCCAUGGCUAGAAGUAGAAACUGCAACAGUGAUAAAAGACCACCAGUACAGUCAACUCAAGCAGCAUUAAAGGCAAUGGCCAGCAGAGCCUGCAAAGUUUGUUCAGUGCACAGUGCAAGGCCCUGAUAGGGCUAGUAAUGCUGUGCAGGCUGGUUUUGCUUUAAUAUUUUUGAUAAGGCUUUGUAAAGACAAGGGACUGGCUCAUGCAGCUGUACUGAAGUCAUGUAGAUCUGCCUAUUUAGGAUUGCUUUUAGGGCUGGGGAUGAAGGGACAAGAAACCAAUGUACUUUGGAGAGGGGAAAAGCAGAAGCAGACUGAAAAAAGCAGAAAAAUCAAGCAGAAUAAGAGAAGUGUGUGGUGUGAAUAGAUCAUUUGGGUCAUGGGGCUUUUAAAGUGACUUACGCCUUAAGGUGGCGAGAUGCCUUAUUUAUUUGUGGGAUAUAGGGUCUUAACAUGAUGGACCCCAAGAGGUAGUCCAUGACCAGGCUAGCUCUGUUUCAUACACAUCCUUUUCUGCUGUGACCUAGGAGAUGACAAGGAGUAGAUGCGAGGACAGUAGGAAUUUCAGCAGCUAAAGGCCACCUCAAGCACCCCUGUGCAGGCAUAAACUCAACUUGCAAGUCCUUGUCGCUAGAGCUAUGCGGUGCUAAUGAGGGUCCCUCAGCUGGUAUCUGACCAGCUGGAAAAAGGAUGGACCACUGUAGCCUAGAGCAUUAGCUGUUUCACUACCCAGGGCCGGAGGCCAGGAGGAGAAACAGAAUCCUAUAUGUGUGUAUCCUAUACGUGUAAAUGCUGUUGGUAACAGAGCAAUAUUCCAGUUCUGUCUGUGCGUAUUCUUUGGUACGUGUUUCUCCUGUCUUCCUCUUUUGUACUUGCCAGUCAUAUACUCUGUAAUUUUGCUUUCAGAGUCUGCCUUAGAAGAGACCUAUGCCAUUUUUGCCUGGAGCUGAAUAACUAUUAAGUUGCACCCCCGCUGGCUGCUUGCUUGAAGGUAGGGAUGUGCCAACAAACCCCGCUUCCCAGGGGCUUUUUGGCAGAGCACGCUCGACUUUCUGCUGUGUUCUUCAUGACAAGCUACUCUUGGUCACAUACGGCCCACGUAUGAGGGACCUGAGCCAACAAAAAUUGCCAGGACCUACUGCAUUCUUCAAAGCUUAGGGCACCAGAGUACGAAUCGACAGCAAACACCCUAAUCCCUUACCAACACAUUGGGUGGCAAAACCCACAGCAGUUGCCUGUAGUGUUGAUGUGAUUCAAGCCCAUACUGUUUAAUUUAUCUUUGUGCACCCAAAGUCAUGAUAUCUAACAGUACCGACAGUUAAGAGUCUCAUUUGCUGAUUCAUCAACAAAUUAUAAGAAUAAAAAGAAAACUAUGUGAAGAGAAAGAUGAUUUUGUUGAGCAGCUCUAAUCUUGGCUGUUUUCCUUGGCUUUAAACUUUGAAUUUUACCAGUUAUAUGUUAAAUGCUCUGCUUCACUUCUUUGUAUCCAGACAGAAAGAAAUGGUUUGUAAAAAAUGUGCUAUGUGGGUAAUGUAGAAUUUUUCUCCUCUGGGGAAUCCAUCAGUGAGGAUGUUUACUAUGUAUUUAUGAGGUCCCUUGCAGAUCUUUAGACUAGGCUUUCAGAUGUUCAUUCUCUUGGACUUUUUAUUGCUAACAUUUAUUCUUCUUUUAAUGGUGAGCUCUCAGAAGAAUGCAGAGGGCUCGGUUCAAACUCCAGGCAAAUCUUACAUCACUUUUGGCUUGCAACUGGGCUCCACACAGGACUCAGCAAGAUUUCAUUCAGCCUUUUCUGUAGUGUUGGUUACAGUUCUCGAGAGGGGCAGGGAAAAUUACUUUUGGCUUUAACGUUCUGUAUUAGUUAGUCUGUGAUUUGCUUGUUCCAGAGGCUGGAUAUUAUCUUUGAUACUAUAUUAUUCUGUAAAGUAACGCUGAGUGCAAGAGAGAGUGACAGAGCAUCUCUCAUGCUACCCCUGAUUCAUUGCAUGUACUUCUGCGAGGCAAUGAAAUACUUUGGUCAUGUCAAAACCGCUAAUUUCUAGAUAGUAGCUAAUAUCUAAAUACUAGAUAUUACGUGACAAGUUUGAAGGCCAGAAGGUAAUGUUCAGGGUUGAUGUCUGUACUCAGAGAAAUAAUCUUCUGGAAGCCAAUGUAACUUUACGUGCGAGUGAGGAGAAUUUGCAUGACUGUAAACUCAAGAAUGGGCUGUUAUUCAAGUACAAGAAUAAAUGAGAAAGGUUAAAAAAACUUUUUUUA